CACUUCCUUACACUCUUGCCAGCAUUAGCCACACCCUGGUGUCUCUCAGCCAGUUUAAGCUGGUGUUAAGGUAGACAAGCAGACUGGUUAAGACCACCAACACUAAAUGAAGUUGUUUGUCAAGGACAUCUUAGGAGGAAGAGAAUACAGAUACCGGACAUUUUCUUUACUAAAAUGGACAGGUUUUUUUUUCUUUUUUCCUUUUAAACGAUUUUUUAUGUAGAAGAAGUUUGAAAAUUUGGGUAAGUACAAAAUUUCUUCUUUCCUAUUAUUGUUGUUGCUAUUGGUGUCUACAGCAGCAGUCUAUGGAAGAGGGAAAAGUAAACUUUGAGGUUAGAAUGUUUAAGUAUAUUCUAAAACAAAGCUGGUAAUUUUCUGAGCUUAAAAUUUCUGGUCUGUGUGUUGUUGUAAAUGGUACUGUGGCUAUAACAUAAACAUUCCAUUAAAAAAUGUUUUUGAAAAUAAGGCACAGUUCUAUUAAUAGCCCUCAAAGAAAAGCAGCAUCUUCAACAAGAAAAAUAAAAAAGCACUUUAAUGUUCUAUUAGUGCAAAACAUAGUCCUCCAGUCACUGUUGUAAUCAAGAGCCUGGGGAUACCAGGCAUCCAAAUGGCCAUCAUGUGCUCACUCAUGUGUUGGGAGGGACUGGGCAGCAGAGGUGGUUGGACAGCAUAGCAAAACCAGGGAAUGAGUAGCUGAGGGUCAGAGCUGGACAGUUGCAUGUGAGUAUAUGAGGCUUUGCUUCUAUGUAAGAGUAACGAGUGGGCAGUGGGAUUAGGAGUUAGACAACUAUAAUAUCAGUAAAGAUGGUCCUUUCCUGCCUUUUUCCUCUUGCUCACGUGAGAUCUCGUGUUCAGAAGGAAAUGGUGACAGACUGCAGGUGGCAGUACUCUGUCAUUUACACAUCUCUUUAUCAUGCCUGGGUCAUUUCUGUUGAGUCCAUAAAACUUUCCUCCAGGAAGAUGUAGACAAAAGAUGUGGAAAUUGAUGCUCUGGAGAUCUGUUUUGCUUUUCAGCUUGCUAAUUAAACAGAAUUAGAAAACUGUGAUGAUGAAAGUGCUGGGAAGUUCACCGCUGGCUUGGACCAGGCCAAGGUGGGCUGCUGUACACAGAGAAGUCAGCACUUUCAAUGCCUGUGUCAUUCAGAAUCUUCCCUUUGUGCUCUAACCAAUACUAAAUAUGCUGAAAUGUUAUAAACUUAUAUCAAGUAGUAAACAAAAAGAUUCUGUAUUGAAUUGUGCACUUUUUCCAGGAAAUAAAGAGUAGAAUCUUUGUUUUAAAACAAGGCUAAUCAAGUGAUAAACGUUACUACAAUAAGCUGUAAAGUGCAAAAAGUGUUUGCAUUGAGCAGGCUUCUGGCAUAGGAAACUUGAUCAUUUGGAAUAUAUAACUUUAAGGAUUAUGCUAUUGAGCUGUUCUUGGUGGCUUAUGUGUAUCCACACUGAGAUGUGCUUGCAUGGUAGAGGCGAAUCCAAUGUUUCAACACCAUGCCAUCCACUU
ensembl:processed_transcript